rnacentral:lncRNA from 1 species
UCCUCUUAUCCGCGUAAAUCCCAAUGCCCAACCGUGCUCUACAAACUAUAUGUAUUUUAUUUGAUAAACUAAAUAUUUUUAUUUAAUUUUUUAUUUAUAUAUUUUAAUUUUAUGUCAUAUUUUAUUUUAUUUUAUAUUUUAUUAUUAUAUUUUUUAGUGAAUUUACUUUUAUACUCAUUUUUUGAUCUUUUUGAUAUUUUUAAAUU